rnacentral:rRNA from 1 species
GACGAACGCUGGCGGCGUGCUUAACACAUGCAAGUCGAACGGAAAGGCCCUGCUUUUGUGGGGUGCUCGAGUGGCGAACGGGUGAGUAACACGUGAGUAACCUGCCCUUGACUUUGGGAUAACUUCAGGAAACUGGGGCUAAUACCGGAUAGGAGCUCCUGCUGCAUGGUGGGGGUUGGAAAGUUUCGGCGGUUGGGGAUGGACUCGCGGCUUAUCAGCUUGUUGGUGGGGUAGUGGCUUACCAAGGCUUUGACGGGUAGCCGGCCUGAGAGGGUGACCGGCAACAUUGGGACUGAGAUACGGCCCAGAAUCCUACGGGAGGCAGCAGUGGGGAAUAUUGCACAAUGGGCGGAAGACUGAUGCAGCAACGCCGCGUGCGGGAUGACGGACUUCGGGUUGUAAACCGCUUUCGCCUGUGACGAAGCGUGAGUGACGGUAAUGGGUAAAGAAGCACCGGCUAACUACGUG